rnacentral:rRNA from 1 species
AGAGUUUGAUCCUGGCUCAGAUUGAACGCUGGCGGCAUGCCUUACACAUGCAAGUCGAACGGCAGCACGGGAGCAAUCCUGGUGGCGAGUGGCGAACGGGUGAGUAAUAUAUCGGAACGUGCCCAGUAAUGGGGGAUAGCCCGGCGAAAGCCGGAUUAAUACUGCAUACGACCUACGGGUGAAAGCGGGGGAUCGCAAGACCUCGCGUUAUUGGAGCGGCCGAUAUCAGAUUAGCUUGUUGGCGGGGUAAAAGCCCACCAAGGCGACGAUCUGUAGCUGGUCUGAGAGGACGACCAGCCACACUGGAACUGAGACACGGCCCAGACUCCUACGGGAGGCAGCAGUGGGGAAUUUUGGACAAUGGGCGCAAGCCUGAUCCAGCCAUGCCGCGUGUGGGAAGAAGGCCUUCGGGUUGUAAACCACUUUUGUCAGGGAAGAAACGGCUCUUACUAAUAUUAGGAGCUAAUGACGGUACCUGAAGAAUAAGCACCGGCUAACUACGUGCCAGCAGCCGCGGUAAUACGUAGUGUGCAAGCGUUAAUCGGAAUUACUGGGCGUAAAGCGUGCGCAGGCGGCUUUGCAAGACAGAUGUGAAAUCCCCGGGCUCAACCUGGGAACUGCAUUUGUGACUGCAUGGCUAGAGUACGGUAGAGGGGGAUGGAAUUCCGCGUGUAGCAGUGAAAUGCGUAGAUAUGCGGAGGAACACCGAUGGCGAAGGCAAUCCCCUGGACCUGUACUGACGCUCAUGCACGAAAGCGUGGGGAGCAAACAGGAUUAGAUACCCUGGUAGUCG